rnacentral:rRNA from 1 species
AUUGAACGCUGGCGGCAUGCCUUACACAUGCAAGUCGAACGGUAACGCGGGGCAACCUGGCGACGAGUGGCGAACGGGUGAGUAAUACAUCGGAACGUGCCCAGUAGUGGGGGAUAGCCCGGCGAAAGCCGGAUUAAUACCGCACACGACCUACGGGUGAAAGCAGGGGAUCGCAAGACCUUGCGCUAUUGGAGCGGCCGAUGUCAGAUUAGGUUGUUGGUGGGGUAAAAGCCCACCAAGCCGACGAUCUGUAGCUGGUCUGAGAGGACGACCAGCCACACUGGGACUGAGACACGGCCCAGACUCCUACGGGAGGCAGCAGUGGGGAAUUUUGGACAAUGGGCGAAAGCCUGAUCCAGCCAUGCCGCGUGCGGGAAGAAGGCCUUCGGGUUGUAAAGCUCUUUCGCAAGGGGAGAAAACUUACAUUCUAAUAAAGUGUGAGGCUGACGGUACCUUGAUAAGAAGCACCGGCUAACUACGUGCCAGCCGCCGCCGUAAUAC